CCUACGGGAGGCAGCAGUGGGGAAUUUUGGACAAUGGACGCAAGUCUGAUCCAGCCAUGCCGCGUGCGGGAAGAAGGCCUUCGGGUUGUAAACCGCUUUUGUCAGGGAAGAAACGGGUUUCUCUAAUACAGAGACCUAAUGACGGUACCUGAAGAAUAAGCACCGGCUAACUACGUGCCAGCAGCCGCGGUAAUACGUAGGGUGCAAGCGUUAAUCGGAAUUACUGGGCGUAAAGCGUGCGCAGGCGGUUAUGCAAGACAGAUGUGAAAUCCCCGGGCUCAACCUGGGAACUGCAUUUGUGACUGCAUGGCUAGAGUACGGUAGAGGGGGAUGGAAUUCCGCGUGUAGCAGUGAAAUGCGUAGAUAUGCGGAGGAACACCGAUGGCGAAGGCAAUCCCCUGGACCUGUACUGACGCUCAUGCACGAAAGCGUGGGGAGCAAACAGGAUUAGAUACCCUGGUAGUCCACGCCCUAAACGAUGUCAACUGGUUGUUGGGAGGGUUUCUUCUCAGUAACGAAGCUAACGCGUGAAGUUGACCGCCUGGGGAGUACGGCCGCAAGGUUGAAACUUAAAGGAAAUUGACGGCUGAGACGNGCGAGACGACGACGAGGAGGAGG
rnacentral:rRNA from 1 species